CCUUCCUUCCUUUCCAACCUCCUGCAUAAUCUUAGCAAGAUAAAUUUCACAGAAACCCAAGCCCACACUUCUUCGGAAACUCACUGAAGAGCAUGUAAGGAAUAAAACUACUGAAUCUAAGCAGCUGGUCUUUGCAAAACUCAUGAAAACUAUUCCAAGAAUUCAUCAGGAAAUUACUCCACCACCCUAACACUGGCGAGGGGCGACACCUGUCACGUCGUCUGUGACCAAUUCUCAAAGUCAGGCCAGAUUCUCUGUACGUCAUUCCAGAGAAUGUCAUUUACAGACAGUCUUUAUCAUGUCUACUUUGAUCCUGGAGACACUCAGUUGGAAAGAAGUACAAGGAAUUUAGGGGGCAUAGUUACUAGAAUUCCUUAUACCUGCCAAUCUGGCUGCAUUGUGAAAACCCCAUUAGUGUAUUGGAGAAAACCUCGGGAAAGACAC